rnacentral:rRNA from 1 species
UACGCAGGGGGCUAGCGUUGCUCGGAAUCACUGGGCGUAAAGGGCGCGUAGGCGGCCUGAUCAGUCGGGGGUGAAAGCCUGUGGCUCAACCACAGAAUGGCCUUCGAUACUGUCGGGCUUGAGACCGGAAGAGGUAAGUGGAACUGCGAGUGUAGAGGUGAAAUUCGUAGAUAUUCGCAAGAACACCAGUGGCGAAGGCGGCUUACUGGUCCGGAUCUGACGCUGAGGCGCGAAAGCGUGGGGAGCAAACAGG